AAAAGAGACACUGAAAGGGACAGUAAGAUAACACAGGGGAAAUGGAUAAGCGUGGUUUUGGACUGCUAUUGACCGUCUUGCUUUUAGUCUGUUAUUUUGAUGACAUGGAGGCACAAGAUAAAUCGUUGGGACCUGGGUCAGACAAAAGAGGCAAAAGAGAACUGCGCCCAGGGAAGGUGAACCUUGAAAGAAAAGACUUCAAGCUACUGGAGGCACAAGAUCAAGCGUUGUAUCCAAAGAGAGGCAAAAGAGAACUGCGCCCAGGGAAGGUGAACCUUGAAAGAAAAGACUUCAAGCUACUGGAGGCACAAGAUCAAGCGUUGAGACCAAAGAGAGGCUAAAGAGAACUGCGGACAGAAGAAAAAGAAAAUCGUUAGGGGCCUCUGGUAGAAAUUUGUGUAAAACAUCCUUUCUGCAGCUGUUACUUGAUUUUAUUUUUAAAAUUAUGGAACUUUAUCAACUCAGUUAUACAAUGCAUUUUUUCCCAAUCAUACGUAUCAACUCAGUUAUACAAUGCAUUUUUUCCCAAUCAUACGUAUAGCAUUUUAAAUCACCAAAAUUCGUUAAUAUAUUUUCUUCAAGGUUUUACAAACAUACAGUCAUGUUCACAAUAGACGACAAUAGAAUUAUUGUAAAAUCAUAUUUUCAUGGAGACGAUAUUAUUUUUGUGAGUGAUGAAAACAUUUUAGAUCAUGGAGAUUUGAUUUCAUGUCUGAUCAUUCGUGUUGAUUUGUUUUAUAUUUGAAAUGAAUGUUUCAAUGAGAAAAUUAUUUAGCUGAAUCUCUUCCUAUCUUAAAAACAACGAAUAUUAAAAUUCCACGAAAAUCAAAGACUUUACAGUAUUUCUGAACAAUUGAUGGCACAAACGCUUGAAAUAUGUGUGUAACAUAUAAAUACUUUAAUAUACCCCCGACUUAUUAUAGGCACAGUUUUAUACCGAGUAUUAUUCUCAAGAGCGACGUUAAACAAUAUACAAUCAAUCAUUAUACCGGGUAUUUUUUUGUUAGAAUUAAGGAAAAAAGCAGGCGAAGUAAAAUGCAUUUCAAACGUAACAUUUCUUCACGUUUUCCUGAUUUACUGUACAUAUUAUGAUUAAAACUAUCAACGGAUAUACAAUUCUUGAACUGAAUAAAUUUGUUGCACAGUC